GACGAACGCUGGCGGCGUGCUUAACACAUGCAAGUCGAACGAUGAAGCCGGAGCUUGCUCUGGUGAAUUAGUGGCGAACGGGUGAGUAACACGUGAGUAACCUGCCCUUGACUCUGGGAUAACUGCUAGAAAUGGUAGCUAAUACCGGAUACGACCCUCGGCGGCAUCGCCAGGGGGUGGAAAGAAUUUCGGUCAAGGAUGGACUCGCGGCCUAUCAGCUAGUUGGUGAGGUAACGGCUCACCAAGGCGACGACGGGUAGCCGGCCUGAGAGGUUGACCGGCCACACUGGGACUGAGACACAGCCCAGACUCCGACGGGAGGCAGCAGUGGGGAAUAUUGCACAAUGGGCGCAAGCCUGAUGCAGCAACGCCGCGUGAGGGAUGCCGGCCUUCGGGUUGUAAACCUCUUUUAGUAGGGAAGAAGCGAAAGUGACGGUACCUGCAGAAAAAGCACCGGCUAACUACGUGCCAGCAGCCGCCGUAA
rnacentral:rRNA from 1 species